rnacentral:rRNA from 1 species
GUGGGGAAUAUUGGACAAUGGGCGAAAGCCUGAUCCAGCCAUGCCGCGUGUGUGAAGAAGGUCUUCGGAUUGUAAAGCACUUUAAGUUGGGAGGAAGGGCAGUAAGUUAAUACCUUGCUGUUUUGACGUUACCGACAGAAUAAGCACCGGCUAACUUCGUGCCAGCAGCCGCGGUAAUACGAAGGGUGCAAGCGUUAAUCGGAAUUACUGGGCGUAAAGCGCGCGUAGGUGGUUUUGUAAGUUGGAGGUGAAAUCCCCGGGCUCAAUCUGGGAACUGCCUCCAAAACUGCAUGACUAGAGUACGGUAGAGGGUAGUGGAAUUUCCUGUGUAGCGGUGAAAUGCGUAGAUAUAGGAAGGAACACCAGUGGCGAAGGCGACUACCUGGACUGAUACUGACACUGAGGUGCGAAAGCGUGGGGAGCAAACAGGAUUAGAUACCCGUGUAGUCC